rnacentral:rRNA from 1 species
AGGACAAACGCUGGCGGCGUGUAUUAGGCAUGCAAGUCGCACGAGCCUUCGGGCUAGUGGCGGACGGGUGAGUAACACGUGGAUAACCUGCCUCGUAGUGGGGAAUAACUCGUCGAAAGACGAGCUAAUACCGCAUAAGAUCAUCGGUGUGACUCCGAAUGAUGAAAGCUCCGGCGCUAUGAGAGGGGUCCGCGGCCGAUUAGCUAGUUGGUGGGUAAUGGCUCACCAAGGCGACGAUCGGUAGCUGGUCUGAGAGGAUGGUCAGCCACACGGGGACUGAGA